AAGUCGUAACAAGGUUUCCGUAGGUGAACCUGCGGAAGGAUCAUUACCGAGAUGGGGUCCUCCGGGGCCCGACCUCCAACCCUUUGUCUACAAACCUCUGUUGCCUCGGCGAGUCGCCGGGCGGCCUUUAACUAGGACGCCCGCCGUCGGCCCCCCUGGGGCCCUCGAGUGCUCGCCGGUGGGAUUUUAUCAAACUCCGAGAAACGAGUCUUCUGAGUGAAUUUACAAUAACUUCAAAACUUUCAACAACGGAUCUCUUGGUUAUG
rnacentral:misc_RNA from 1 species